AUUGAACGCUGGCGGCAGGCUUAACACAUGCAAGUCGAGCGAGUGGCGGACGGGUGAGUAAUGUCUGGGAAACUGCCUGAUGGAGGGGGAUAACUACUGGAAACGGUAGCUAAUACCGCAUACCAUAAGAUGUGCCCAGGUGGGAUUAGCUAGUAGGUGGGGGAAAGGCUCACCAAGGCGACGAUCCCUAGCUGGUCUGAGAGGAUGACCAGCCACACUGGAACUGAGACACGGCCCAGACUCCUACGUGAGGCAGCAGUGGGGAAUAUUGCACAAUGGGCGCAAUCCUGAUGCAGCCAUGCCGCGUGUAUGAAGAAGGCCUUCGGGUUGUAAAGCACUUUCAGCGGGGAGGCGUUACUCGCAGAAGAAGCACCGGCUAACUCCGUGCCAGCAGCCGCGGUAAUUC
rnacentral:rRNA from 1 species